CCAAAACAUGCAAGUCGAGCGGACAGAUGGGAGCUUGCUCCCUGAUGUUAGCGGCGGACGGGUGAGUAACACGUGGGUAACCUGCCUGUAAGACUGGGAUAACUCCGGGAAACCGGGGCUAAUACCGGAUGGUUGUUUGAACCGCAUGGUUCAAACAUAAAAGGUGGCUUCGGCUACCACUUACAGAUGGACCCGCGGCGCAUUAGCUAGUUGGUGAGGUAACGGCUCACCAAGGCAACGAUGCGUAGCCGACCUGAGAGGGUGAUCGGCCACACUGGGACUGAGACACGGCCCAGACUCCUACGGGAGGCAGCAGUAGGGAAUCUUCCGCAAUGGACGAAAGUCUGACGGAGCAACGCCGCGUGAGUGAUGAAGGUUUUCGGAUCGUAAAGCUCUGUUGUUAGGGAAGAACAAGUACCGUUCGAAUAGGGCGGUACCUUGACGGUACCUAACCAGAAAGCCACGGCUAACUACGUGCCAGCAGCCGCGGUAAUACGUAGGUGGCAAGCGUUGUCCGGAAUUAUUGGGCGUAAAGGGCUCGCAGGCGGUUUCUUAAGUCUGAUGUGAAAGCCCCCGGCUCAACCGGGGAGGGUCAUUGGAAACUGGGGAACUUGAGUGCAGAAGAGGAGAGUGGAAUUCCACGUGUAGCGGUGAAAUGCGUAGAGAUGUGGAGGAACACCAGUGGCGAAGGCGACUCUCUGGUCUGUAACUGACGCUGAGGAGCGAAAGCGUGGGGAGCGAACAGGAUUAGAUACCCUGGUAGUCCACGCCGUAAACGAUGAGUGCUAAGUGUUAGGGGGGUUUCCGCCCCUUAGUGCUGCAGCUAACGCAUUAAGCACUCCGCCUGGGGAGUACGGUCGCAAGACUGAAACUCAAAGGAAUUGACGGGGGCCCGCACAACCGGUGGAGCAUGUGGUUUAAUUCGAAGCAACGCGAAGAACCUUACCAGGUCUUGACAUCCUCUGACAAUCCUAAAAGAUAGGACGUCCCCCUUCCGGGGGCAGAGUGACAAGUUGUUGCAUGGGUGGUCGUCAGCUUCCUGUCCUUGAGAUGUUUGGGUUAAUUCCCCGAAACGG
rnacentral:rRNA from 1 species